rnacentral:lncRNA from 1 species
GUGAAGGUCAAGUUCUGCAGAGAGUCUGGGACAGACCCCAUCAGGGUACCAGGCGUCCUGGCCCAGCACUCACAGAUGACGUUGAGCUGGAUGGUUCUUUCCACAGUCACACCAGCUGCAGGGAACUUCACCUGACAGGAUCAAUGUGAGGGGCAACUCCUCUCUGCUCACAAAAUCACACACCAGCCCUGGAUGCUGCUCCAAGAGUCUCUGUCCAGUGGGGAGACUACAGAUGUCCCAGCACCUGGAGCUCCCUGUGAUGGGAAGACAUGGACACACGUGCAGGAGACACAGAGUGAGGAAUGCCAACCUGGGGGUUGUCCACCCUCAUGGAUGGUGAGGAUAUCCUGAGAGAAGAGACGUGCAUCUGAAUUCUUAGAAGGUUAUUUUGACUAUGUGGUGGGGGCUGGGAGGAAGUGGUGGGACUCCAGGGAGGUGGUGCCUCCUCAGACCCAAGUCUUUUUCCUUGAAACUUCUUUGGGGCAAAAAUAAGACACAUGAAGGGAACUGUCUACAAAAGGACAACUCAGUGAUUCAUCACAAAAUGAACACCCUACAAGAAAUAGAACGUUAGGAGCACCCAGGACCUCCCCUUUGAUCCCCCUCCCUAUCCUCACACUCCACUCCCCCAAGGGGCCCCAGCCUCACUGUAAUUCCAAUUGUUUCCUUGCUUUUCUCUGUAGUCUUAUCACCUGACCAUGCUGCCUUUAUUACUAUGGUUUUGCGCAUGCUUUUCUUAAGACUUUGUAUAGACAGAAAAUAUU